rnacentral:rRNA from 1 species
CUUUGGGAUAACCCUCGGAAACGGGGGCUAAUACCGAAUAUUACUUCUGGUCGCAUGGCUGGUGGUGGAAAGUUUUUCGGCUUGGGAUGGGCUCGCGGCCUAUCAGCUUGUUGGUGGGGUGAUGGCCUACCAAGGCGACGACGGGUAGCCGGCCUGAGAGGGCGACCGGCCACACUGGGACUGAGACACGGCCCAGACUCCUACGGGAGGCAGCAGUGGGGAAUAUUGCACAAUGGGCGGAAGCCUGAUGCAGCGACGCCGCGUGAGGGAUGACGGCCUUCGGGUUGUAAACCUCUUUCAGCAGGGACGAAGCGGAAGUGACGGUACCUGCAGAAGAAGCGCCGGCCAACUACGUGCCAGCAGCCGCGGUAAGACGUAGGGCGCGAGCGUUGUCCGGAUUUAUUGGGCGUAAAGAGCUCGUAGGCGGCUUGUCGCGUCGACCGUGAAAACUUGGGGCUCAACCCCAAGCCUGCGGUCGAUACGGGCAGGCUCGAGUUCGGUAGGGGAGACUGGAAUUCCUGGUGUAGCGGUGAAAUGCGCAGAUAUCAGGAGGAACACCGGUGGCGAAGGCGGGUCUCUGGGCCGAUACUGACGCUGAGGAGCGAAAGCGUGGGGAGCGAACAGGAUUAGAUACCCUGGUAGUCCACGCUGUAAACGUUGGGCGC